rnacentral:rRNA from 1 species
CAGUAGCCGCGUAAUACGAAGGGGGCUAGCGUUGCUCGGAAUGACUGGGCGUAAAGGGCGCGUAGGCGGCGGCCAAAGUCAGGCGUGAAAUUCCCGGGCUCAACCUGGGGGCUGCGUUUGAUACUUGGUUGCUUGAGUGGGGAAGAGGGUCGUGGAAUUCCCAGUGUAGAGGUGAAAUUCGUAGAUAUUGGGAAGAACACCGGUGGCGAAGGCGGCGACCUGGUCCUUUACUGACGCUGAGGCGCGAAAGCGUGGGGAGCAAACAGGAUUAGAUACCCCUGUAGUCCCUGUCUCUUACACC